rnacentral:rRNA from 1 species
UCAGUCAAAACUCAGAUUGAACGCUGGCGGACGCUUUACCGCAUGCAGUCGAACAGCAGCACGGACUCGGUCUGGUGGCGGUGAACAGGUGAGUAAUGUAUCGGAACGAUGCCUAUAGCGAGAUAACUACGCAGCGUAGCUAAUGCCGCAUACGCCCUUCGGGGAAGCGGAGAGCCUUCGGGCCUCACCUGUCGGAAGCGGCCGAUAUCCGGAUUACGCUAGUUGGUGGGGUAACGGCGCUCACCAGGCGACGAUCCGUAGCUGGUUUGAGAGGACACGACCAGCCGCACUUUGGGACUGGGCAUGGGCACUCUACAGGAGGCAGCGGUGAGAUUUACAGACGAUAGGAAACACCGGUCGUAAUCACAUAUUACGAUGAAGAGCCUUCGGGUUAUGAGCACUUUUGGCGGGAAAAAAGAGAGAGAGCGGCACGGAGAUAUGCCCGUGCAACGACUGACACCUGCAGAAUAAGCACCGGCUAACUACGUACCAACAAACCAUGAUAUACGGCGGUGUGUUAUCGAUUACUGGGCUGGCGGUGCGCAGGCGGUUCGGAAGAAAGAUCUUGAAAUCAGAAGCUUAACUUUGGUUCAUUUUAACUACCGAGCUGAGUGUGGAGGAGUGGAAUUCGCAUUAAUAACUUGAAGGUAAGUAAAUAGAUGUGGAGGAACACACCGAUGGCGAAGGCCUCCUGGGAUAACGCAGCGCUCAUGCGAAAGCGUGGGGAGCAAACGAUUAGAUCUGUUAGUCCACCACAAACGUGUCAGCAGGCUGUUGGGCUUCAGGCCUUAGUAGCGCAACUAACAGCGAUGAGAUUGACCGCCUGGGAUACAGUCGCAGAUUAAAACUCAAGGAAUUGACGGGGACCCGCACAAGCGGUGGAUGAAGUGUGGAUUAAUUCGAUGCAACGCGAAAACCUUACCUACCCUUGACGGCAUGUCUAGAAUCCGAAGAGAUUUGAAGUGCUCGCAGAACGGAACACAGGUGCUGCAUGGCUGUCGUCGGCUCGUCGAUAGGCGAGUGUUGGGUUAUAAGUCCGCAGCGAGCGCAGCCCUUGUCGUGGUUGCUACGAAAGGGCACUCUAUUGAACUACGGUAACAAACCAGAGGAAGGUGGGGAUGACGUCAAGUCUCGCGGCCGCUUAUGGGUGAAUACACGUCAUACAAUGGAUGGAACUGGAGAGGUCGCCAACCCGCGAGGGAGCAAUCCCGAAACCCGGUCGUAGUCGGAUCGCAGUCUGCAACUCGACUGCGUGAAGUCAGAAUCAGCAAUAAUCACGGAUCGGCAUGUCGGUGAAUGCGUUCCCAGGUCUUGUACUCUCGUCACCAUGGGAGUGGGUUUACCGAAGUGGUCGCCUAACUUUCGUAGGAAGGCGAUUACAGUGAGUUCAUGACUGGGUGAAGUCAUGGCCAAAUA